rnacentral:rRNA from 1 species
AAGGUAGCAUAAUAAUUUGCCUUUUAAUUGGAGGCUGGUAUGAAUGGACAAACGAGAAUAAAGCUGUCUCUAACGAAACUAUAAAAAUUAAGUUUUAGGUGAAGACGCCUAAAUUUUUCUAAAGGACAAAAAGACCCUGUUGAGCUUAACCCCUUACAGACCCAUAAACUUUGUUCGGGUUUAGUUGGGGCGACUAAUGGAGAAAUAAAGCUCCUUUACAACAAAGACCUGCGUGUCAUUACUAAUGACCUGCUUAAGCAAUCAAUAGAAAAGCUACCACAGGGAUAACAGACUAAUCCUCCUCAAGAGCCCAAAUUGACAGGAGGGCUUGGCACCUCGAUGUUGGCUUAAGGUAUCCUAUAAGUGCAGCCGCUUAGUUGGAAGGUUUGUUCAACCUUUAAUCCCUUACGUGAUCU